rnacentral:rRNA from 1 species
GAUGAACGCUGGCGGCGUGCUUAACACAUGCAAGUCGAACGAAGCACUUUGAAACAAUCCUUCGGGUGUGUUUCUUAGUGACUUAGUGGCGGACGGGUGAGUAACGCGUGGGUAACCUGCCUCAUGCAGGGGGAUAACAGUUAGAAAUGACUGCUAAUACCGCAUAAGCGCACAGUACCGCAUGGUACAGUGUGAAAAGAUUUAUCAGCAUGAGAUGGACCCGCGUCUGAUUAGCUAGUUGGUGAGGUAACGGCCCACCAAGGCGACGAUCAGUAGCCGACUUGAGAGAGUGAUCGGCCACAUUGGGACUGAGACACGGCCCAAACUCCUACGGGAGGCAGCAGUGGGGAAUAUUGGGCAAUGGGGGAAACCCUGACCCAGCAACGCCGCGUGAAGGAAGAAGGCCCUCGGGUUGUAAACUUCUUUUAGCAGGGACGAAGAACGUGACGGUACCUGCAGAAAAAGCAACGGCUAACUACGUG